UACGUAGGGUGCGAGCGUUAAUCGGAAUUACUGGGCGUAAAGUGUGCGCAGGCGGCGUCGCAAGUCGAGUGUGAAAGCCCCGAGCUUAACUUGGGAAUUGCGCUCGAAACUACGGUGCUGGAGUAUGGCGGAGGAAGGUGGAAUUCCAGGUGUAGCGGUGAAAUGCGUAGAUAUCUGGAGGAACACCCGUGGUGCAGACGGCUUGCUGGACCGUGACUGACGCUGAGGCACGAAAGCGUGGGUAGCAAACAGG
rnacentral:rRNA from 1 species